UACAGAGGGGGCAAGCGUUAUUCGGAAUUAUUGGGCGUAAAGGGCGCGUAGGCGGCCAUUCAAGUGACGGGUGAAAGCCCUCGGCUUAACCGAGGAACUGCCUGUCAGACUGGAUGGCUUGAGACCGGGAGAGGUGAGUGGAAUUCCCAGUGUAGCGGUGAAAUGCGUAGAUAUUGGGAGGAACACCAGUGGCGAAGGCGGCUCACUGGACCGGUACUGACGCUGAGGUGCGAAAGCGUGGGGAGCAAACAGG
rnacentral:rRNA from 1 species